rnacentral:tRNA from 1 species
GCUUUUGGUACAGUGGUAGAAUGCUCGCCUGCCACGCGGGCGCCUCGAGUUCGAUUCCCGGCCGAUGCA